rnacentral:rRNA from 1 species
CCUACGGGAGGCAGCAGUGGGGAAUAUUGCACAAUGGUGGGAACACUGAUGCAGCGACGCCGCGUGAGUGAAGAAGUAUCUCGGUAUGUAAAGCUCUAUCAGCAGGGAAAAAAAUGACGGUACCCGAUUAAGAAGCCCCGGCUAACUACGGGCCAGCAGCCGCGGUAAUACGUAGGGGGCAAGCGUUAUCCGGAUUUACUGGGUGUAAAGGGGGCGGAGACGGCAGCACAAGUCUGGAGGGAAAUGCCGGGGCUUAACCCCGGAACUGCUGUUGAAACUGUGCAGCUAGAGUGAAGGAGAGGUAAGCGGAAUGCCCAGUGUAGCGGUGAAAUGCGUAGAUAUCAGGAGGAACACCAGUGGCGAAGGCGGCUUACUGGACUGUAACUGACGUUGAGGCUCGAAAGCGUGGGGAGCAAACAGGAUUAGAUACCCUAGUAGUC